CCUACGGGUGGCAGCAGUGAGGAAUAUUGGUCAAUGGGCGUGAGACUGAACCAGCCAAGCCGCGUGAGGGAAGAAGGUACAGCGUAUCGUAAACCUCUUUUGUCAGGGGACAAAAGCGGGCACUAGUCCCGUGAUGAGGGUACCGGAAGAAAAAGCAUCGGCUAACUCCGUGCCAGCAGCCGCGGUAAUACGGAGGAUGCGGGCGUUAUCCGGAUUUAUUGGGUUUAAGGGGUGCGCAGGCGGCUUGUUAAGUGUGCGGUAAAAGCCCGGGGCUCAACCCCGGAGAGCCGUUGGAACUGGCGGGCUGGAGUUGGAGGGAAGUACGCGGAAUGCGCGGUGUAGCGGUGAAAUGCUUAGAUAUCGCGCAGAACCCCGAUUGCGAAGGCAGCGUACCGGCUCCACACUGACGCUGAGGCACGAAAGCGUGGGUAUCGAACAGGAUUAGAUACCCUGGUAGUC
rnacentral:rRNA from 1 species